GACGAACGCUGGCGGCGUGCUUAACACAUGCAAGUCGAGCGGUAAGGCCCUUUCGGGGGUACACGAGCGGCGAACGGGUGAGUAACACGUGGGUGACCUGCCCUCAGCUCUGGGAUAAGCCUGGGAAACCGGGUCUAAUACCGGAUAUGACUCCAUGACGCAUGUUGUGGGGUGGAAAGCCUUGUGCGGCUGAGGAUGGGCCCGCGGCCUAUCAGCUUGUUGGUGGGGUGAUGGCCUACCAAGGCGACGACGGGUAGCCGGCCUGAGAGGGCGACCGGCCACACUGGGACUGAGACACGGCCCAGACUCCUACGGGAGCAGCAGUGGGGAAUCUUGCGCAAUGGGCGAAAGCCUGACGCAGCGACGCCGCGUGAGGGAUGGCGGCCUGGUGUAAC
rnacentral:rRNA from 1 species